rnacentral:lncRNA from 1 species
GUUAGUAACUACAGAAUCCCGCCAACAUUUGAUGAAGGGAAACCGUAUGAAAGUUGGAAGAAUGAAGUCGCUAUCUGGACUAGAGUCACGGAGCUGGAGAAGAGUAAGCAGGCGCUUGCAGUGGCUUUGGCGCUGUCUGGAAGAGCGAGGGAGACCGCGAUGGAAAUACCGGUAGAUGACUUGAAUAAAGACACUGGCAUGAAUACUUUGCUCGCGAAACUCGAUGAUUUGUUUCUCAAGGAAGAAAAGGACAGAAUAUACGAGGCAUACUCAAGUUUUGACCGGAUUGUCAGAGACAGUAGUUCGUCUAUGACGGACUAUAUUAUUGACUUUGAGCAGCGCUACUCACGAAUGCGAAAAUACAAGAUGGAUCUUCCCGACGCAGUGUUAGCAUUCAAGUUGCUAGACACAGCGUGCUUAGACAUAAAAGAUAGACAGUUGGCUUUGACUGCAUGCACAGAAUUGACGUUUGCAUCAAUGAAAUCAGCACUGAAGAGAAUAUUUGGUGGAAAGCCAUCUGCAGUGACAGUGGGAAUUAACCAGGAAACUGCAUAUGUAACAGAGCAAAGACGGCAGAAGGGAAAAUCCUGGUCGCAAAAUGAUCAAAAGACACCACUGCCAGGCACAAAUCCUCUGGACAGGUACGGUCGGAGAUCUAAAUGUGCAGUUUGCCAAAGCACAUACCACUGGGCCAAGGACUGUCCACACAGAAGUGAGCAAAUCAAAGUAACUGAAGAUUGUAAAACAAAUGAUGUAGAUGAGUGCAACAUUGCUCUGUAUUCAAAAGAAUCACUCACAGAGGCAGAAAUCUUCAUGACAGAGUGUUUUGGUUCAGCUAUAAUUGAUACUGCAUGCACUCGUACUGUGUGUGGUCAGGAAUGGCUAAAUAGCUAUGUCACUGAAUUAAGUCAAAAUAAGAUAAGACAUCUGAUGAAGACAGAGACAAGCAGUCAUAGACCCUUUAGAUUUGGGGAUGGAAGAGUAGUCUACUCCACCAAAAAGGUGAAAAUUCCUGCUAAAAUUGGACAGACAGAGUGUCACAUUGAAACUGAAGUUGUCCCAGCAAAUAUUCCACUACUUCUGAGUAAAGCAUCAAUGAAAAGAGCAGGGACAGUGCUGGAUAUGGAAAAUGACAGUGCAAUGAUGUUCAAUCAUCCUGUAAAACUUGACUUUACAAGCUCUGGUCAUUACUGUGUGAACAUUAUGGACAAAGGUGAAAAUAGCGUUCAAGUUGAUGGUGUCUUGACAACUGCCGAAAAUGUCACUUUAGAAGAACAAAAGAAGGAAGGUCUGGAAUCUC